GCGCCUGCGGUGCGAUGGUGCGCAUACCGCCUUCCCAAGGCGGUGACGCGGGUUCGAUUCCCGUCAGGCGCUCGA
rnacentral:tRNA from 2 species